rnacentral:tRNA from 1 species
ACUCUAAUAGUUUAAUAAAAAACAUUGGUCUUGUAAACCAAAAACUGAAGACUCCACCCUCUUAGAGUA